rnacentral:rRNA from 1 species
GACGAACGCUGGCGGCGUGCUUAACACAUGCAAGUCGAACGGAAAGACCCUGCUUUUGUGGGGUGCUCGAGUGGCGAACGGGUGAGUAACACGUGAGUAACCUGCCCUUGACUUUGGGAUAACUUCAGGAAACUGGGGCUAAUACCGGAUAGGAGCUCCUGCUGCAUGGUGGGGGUUGGAAAGUUUCGGCGGUUGGGGAUGGACUCGCGGCUUAUCAGCUUGUUGGUGGGGUAGUGGCUUACCAAGGCUUUGACGGGCAGCCGGCCUGAGAGGGUGACCGGCCACAUUGGGACUGAGAUACGGCCCAGACUCCUACGGGAGGCAGCAGUGGGGAAUAUUGCACAAUGGGCGGAAGUCUGAUGCAGCAACGCCGCGUGCGGGAUGACGGCCUUCGGGUUGUAAACCGCUUUCGCCUGUGACGAAGCGUGAGUGACGGUAAUGGGUAAAGAAGCACCGGCUAACUACGUG